rnacentral:rRNA from 1 species
GAAGAAAGAACUAACGAGGAUUCCCCUAGUAACUGCGAGUGAAGCGGGAAGAGCUCAAAUUUGAAAUCUGGCGGCUUUUGGGUCGUCCGAGUUGUAACCUGGAGAGGCAUUUUCGGCGUUGGACCCGUGUACAAGUCUCCUGGAAUGGAGCGUCAUAGAGGGUGAGAAUCCCGUCCAUGGCACGGACCACCAAUGCUAUGUGAUAUGCCUUCGAAGAGUCGCGUUGUUUGGGAAUGCAGCGCAAAAUGGGUGGUAAAUUCCAUCUAAAGCUAAAUAUUGGCGAGAGACCGAUAGCGAACAAGUACCGUGAGGGAAAGAUGAAAAGCACUUUGGAAAGAGAGUUAAACAGUACGUGAAAUUGUUGAAAGGGAAACGCUUGAAGUCAGUCGCGUUCCGUGGAACUCAGCCUUGCUUCGGUUUGGUGUACUUUCCAUGUGAACGGGUCAACGUCAAUUUUGGGCGGUGGACAAAGGCGAGGGGAAUGUAGCGUCGCUUCGGGGACGUGUUAUAGCCCCUUGUUGUAUACGCCGGCCGGGAUUGAGGACUGCAGCACGCCCCCCUUGUGGGUGGUCGGGGGUUCGCCCCACGUACCCGUGCUUAGGAUGUUGGCAUAAUGGCUUUAAGCGACCCGUCUUGAAACACGGACCAAGGAGUCUAACAUGCUUGCGAGUGUUCGGGUGGAAAACCCUUGCGCGUAAUGAAAGUGAAAGUUGGGAAUCCGUUCUCGCGAGAGAGCGGGUGCACUGACGCCCGGCCCUGAGGUUCUCUGACGGUGCUGCGGUAGAGCAAGUAUGUUGGGACCCGAAAGAUGGUGAACUAUGCCUGAAUAUGGCGAAGCCAGAGGAAACUCUGGUGGAGGCUCGUAGCGAUUCUGACGUGCAAAUCGAUCGUCAAAUUUGGGUAUAGGGGCGAAAAGACUAAUCCAAACAUCUAGUAGCUGGUUCCUGCCGAAGUUUCCCUCCCGGAUAGAAGAAGACUCGGAUCAAAUUUUGGUGGUUAAACCGAAUGAUUAAAGGCCUUGGGGUUGAAAAAACCUUAACCUAUUCUCAAACUUUUAAUAUUUAAGAACCGGGCCGGCUCUUGGUUU